AAAAGCUUAGCGAGAGAUCAAGUUGUUAAAUGAUAACACUGUAUUUUACUCAUUUUAGGUAUAUGUUUAUCAUCAUUUAGCUUUGCCUUUGCUCAUUGUAUCAUGUCAUUUUGCACCAUUUUAGCUUAUUUUGCAUACUUAGGCAUAUAGGAUCAUCUUGCAUUCGCAUUGCAUGUUUUGGUGUGUUUUCAGGUGCAGAAGGAGCUAAAAAGGGCUCUACUCGAUCCAUUCACUCGAUCCAGGCAGCUACAGAAGAGGCAUCAAUUCACUCGACCUCUUUACUCGAUCCAGGAUGCUACAGAGGAGGCUGCAGUUUACUCAACCCUCUUACUCGAUCAAGGCAAUCUCAGAUGAAGCAGAAGAUUGAUCUACUCGCCCCUCCUACUCGAUCCUCUACUCGACCCAUUUACUCGACCAAGGGUGACCAACUCUACAAGACUUGUUGGGCUAUCAAAGCGUCUUCGGAUCCUCUUCAUUCCCCACUCAACCAGACAUCUGAGCAUAAAGAUAGAAGAGGAAGAAGCAUCUACUCGACCAAUUGAUCACUCGGAGCAUAGACACAAAGGCACAAACUUUGCAUCACCCUCUUUACUCGAUCCCCAAGAUCGAGUAUUCGCCCAAACCGCCUCAAGUCUCUUGUCUUCUAGUGAAUCUUGGGUUUCAACAUUUUACUAUAAAUAGAUCACUUUGGGGUUUGUCCAAAGGAUCUAUGCUUUAUCUUUCAGUUUUUCUUUUU
rnacentral:sRNA from 1 species